GUUUAGAAGCCACUUUUUGUUAAUUUAUUUAUUUUACAUUUAUUUAACUCCGUGUCUUUGGUGCUAGGUGAAAGAUGUAGGGGGCAACCGGAUUUUUUGCCUCAUAGUUGUCAUAUAUGUCAUUUUGCUGAUUCGGGGUUAAUUAUGCUGUUGCUGAUUUGUUGUAGAUAUCAUCUCCAGGGUUUCGUGUGCCGGUCGUACUAUUUCCAACCUUCUUUACAAUGAUGGUUUCUAGUGAUACUUCUGAGUAAGCAGUGUUUUAUGUAAGGCCCAGUGUGGCAAUGUGGGGUUAAGAAAUUUUGUUUGAUAAUAAAUUUCAAUUUCUGAGUGAAUUUAUUUUAGCUUCAUGUUAUUUUCUUUUCUCUUUUUGGGCAAGUGAUGUUAAUUUCUUUUUUCUCAACUCUGGUUUUGUUUGUGAUUUGCUUGUGUUGUGAAGCAUGUGGCUGUUAUUGGAGUCAGCAACGCCAGAAUGGUUAACAAGAUAUGUCUAGUAGUUCUUAUCCUGAUAAUGUCCACUUUAAACCUUUCUUCGCAGGUGUUGUAGGCAUGUGAUAGGUUUGUAAUUGGCUCAUAAGAUUUUCUAAUGGGUAAUUUUUGGUUUUGUUUGUUAUUUGGUAGUUGCUAGGGUUGGUAAAUGUUACUGGAGUACUAUUUGGUUUGUUUACCUUACAUACACCAUACCAUCUGGUAGUUUUGAUGGUUUAAUCCACUUGGUACCACUGUCAAGUUUUGAAAUCUUUAAUUCCAUAGUUUUGUACCUGUUCCUUCAUUUCCCUAGGCUAAUGUUCAUGUUUGUUUUGCGCUCUUGCAACAGGAAAUGUGUGUGCAGAUUUUGUUACGGUUAUUAGGUCCUACUGCUGUAACAGAUAGUCAUCUCGUUUUGCAAGAGCAAUAACACAUUUAUAAUUUCUCUCAAGAUUUGGUUAUAUUAUUUUGUCUGCUUUUAUUAUUUUAGGUUUUGGUUAUUGUAUUUGCUACUGAUGACUUGUAGUAAAUGAAUAAGCUGUGAUUAAAUCUAUUCUGACAACAGUAAAAUAUUUUAUGUAGUAAACAUCAGGGGGUAUUCUGAUCAUUUGCAUCUCUCAAUGACAUCAGAAUGGGUGUGCAUAAGUGCAUUUUGUUUUGUUUUCAGCACCGGGAUAAGCUAUCAUAUAUUGAAGCGAGUUAUAUAGAGAAUGAGUUUGAGUUUUUAUAAUACACUUAGGACUUGUAUACGCACUCUUUCCUACUUAUAGGAUUUCUGGUGGAAAGGAUUUCUUAAUUCUUAAAGUUGGGACUUUUAAGAGUUGAUAUCUCAACUUCGAGUCAUCCCUAUUGUUUCAGGUUCAUGAUUGUGCUUAAGGUUAGCAGCAAAGAUGGUUUUCCAUUACUUGUUCAUAUGACGGUGAUCUGUAGGCUGUAGCUGAUAUAAUUUUUUCUAUCAAAAAUACUAUGAGUGUUUGUAAUGUAUACUAUGUUUGUCUUCCUCCCCUUGCAUCAUAGGCUUAUUGCUGAAAUAUGAAGCUUAUAAAAUUUUUGGUGGUUCCAUAUCUAUAACCCUUUCAAAAGCCACAACAAGUGUUACUAUUCCAAAUUAAUAGUGUAAUGACGCUUUUACCCUUGUGUCUUUGUUAAAAUACUUUUAUCCCCCACUGUAUAGUGUGCUUCCGUUUAUACCCUCGAGCUAUUUUCAAUAUUCGAAAUUGCCUUUCAGGCUAGAUUUCAGUCCUGCUUUUUCCCCUUUUCAUGCUCCACCAUUCAAAUCUUCCAUUUGCUUUCUCUCUCCUUUGAACCCUUUCUCACUAUCACUCCAUCUCUCCUUUCUCACUUCAUUUUAUCUCUCUUUACUCUCCACUCUGCACUCCAUUUUUUCCAGUCUCUGUAGAGACUAAACCCAAAAACACAUACUUUCAGAAUAUUAGGGUUGGUUUCUUCUCCAUUGAAGCGUAUUCCAAGUUUUACAUUGAAGCUAAGUGUAGAAUGGGGGAUAGAAUUACUUCAAUUUCGCACUAAAGUCGAAUAUUCGAUUACCUCGCACUAAAGUCGAAUAUCAGACUAAAUAUGCUCCUCCUCAAGAGGUUUAUGCAAUUAUUUUGAUUUUUUCUUUGCUGCAAUCUCAGUAAUAUUGCUAUCAAUGGUUACUCUUUCUGUCGGCAACACCGUCCCUUUGAAUAGGAUGGGAAUGUCUCUUAUAUCAACAUAUGCAGCCCAGGGGACAAUUCUCGCGCCUAAUGAGUUUGUGUUACAAAGAGGCAACUGAGGAAGCUGAAUCCUCGAAGAGAAGCCAAUUCCAGCAAGGAUUUAAAUUUGGAGGACCCGAAAUCCCAGGAAUAUAUACUGGUAUGUACAAAAUUUCAGAAUUUUCUGUCAGAGUACUACCUUUAUAUUGUAUCUACAGUAUAAAUGUUGAUGAGGAAGAUGGCGAAGAUCUAUACAAUGUCGAUCUUCUCAAGUAAUUGUUUUCUCCCUUCUUUUAUUCAAUUACAUUUAAGGAGUGUUCAUGUUUCAUGCUGUAAAUGAUAAUUUUAUAAAGUGCUGUUAAUGAGUUGGUCAUAAUGUUUUUGGCCUGGCUCAAAGGGGGUUUUAGUUGAUGAUGAUGGGAUUAUUUAGAAAGAUUUUUUAAUGUGUUGAUCAUACUGUUUUUGACAUUGCUGAUAAGUAGGGAGAGAGUGAGAUAUGAGCCAGCUGUAGAGUGUCACCGUUCUGUAAUAUAGGUAAUCUAUGUGUAACUAUGUGUUAUCUAUAAACCUAAGAAUUUUGAAGGAAAUAUAUCUGCCGUUGCUUAGUACUAAAAAUUGCAAUCCGGAUUUCAAUACCAAAUUGAUAGAAUUUAGAGGCAUUAAAAAAAAUCUCGGUUCUCACCAUGUAGGGUUUUCCCCUCUUUGGUAACCCAUCACUUAACAUAGAAGCUAAGUAAUUGUAAAAGUUGAAACACAAAUGAUGGCAUCCUAUGCUUUGAUUACCACUGAUAAUUUUGAUAAAUCUGAUUAGUUUUAUCCGGUAAUGAAAGCUAUCAUUUGCACUUGUUCUGGUUGUUUCUUUAGGCUGUGCCAUAUAUGCUGAGUAUUUUAUCGGAAUAAUUAGAGAUGAGUUCUUUUAUCUCGCUUAGGUUCAUAAAUUGUCCUACACCGUUGAUUGCUUUUUCUACUCGUGGUUUGGACUGUUGUUUUAAUAUGCUUGGUUGCUGCUUUUGUAAGUCCCCAAUAAAUUAGAGGACAAAAUAAUUGAUGACAUAGUCUCUUAAUGCAGAGAGUUAGGGCAGUGGGUUACUCUCAGCCUAUCAAUAUCGGUGAAAUAUUUUCCGAAGGGUCUCUGAAUCCAUAUGCUGAUGGAGAUAAUCCUUAUGCAUUUAAUUAAAGGUCAGAUAAAUGUGUUCAAAUCAGAGGGGUGGAUUGGAAUAGCUAUGGAGAAUCGUAGCCUUCUGUUCACUCAAUAAAGAGGAAGGUCAAGUAAUUUGUCGACAGAUCCAACAUCUGUAGGUCAGGGGAUUGUUAAGGCUAAAUCUGAGAGAAGCUCACUGGAAAUGAAGAACUUUGAGAUGAUCUCGAGAAGAUACAAAUUCAAUUUUUUAGGAUUUGCAGGUAAGUAUUGCAUUGGAGUUUUCCUGUAUUCUGCUUUUCUUAUUAGCUUAUACAUACAUGGUUAAUAAUCAUGUUGGUCGAGGAUUUAAAGCCAGUGAAGGAUACCGACCAUACGAAUGUUGCUCGAUCUUAGAUGUGAAAUCAGAACCAAUUAAGCAAGAUGAGUUGUGAUGGGUGUAACAGAGGAUAGUGCUUUUUAUAAUUAAUCAAAGGUAGCUUUUAUUUCCACAAAGAAUAUGUUGUACAAGAUGCAGCCUUCAAUGAUGUAUACAAUUUUUAAAGGGUGAGCAAAUUAUUUAGGCAUGAGCAAACUAUACGGAGGUGAGCAAACUAUUUUAGGGUAAUGUAAUUUGAAUAUGAUUUUUAGAGUGAGAAAAUUCUUUGGGGGUGAACAAAUUAUUUAAGGGUAAUUUGUAUAUGAUUUUUAGAGGCAGGCAAACUAUAAUGACAUUUAGGGGGUGAGAAAACUACUUAAAGGUGUGUGUAUGAUUUCUAGGAUUUAAUAAAUUCUAUAAGGAUAAGUAAAUACUUUAGGGGUGAGUAAUUUUUAAAAACGUGAGGUAAUUUUAUACAAUAUUAAUAUACUUAUAGACAAUAUGAAUAAUAUUUCUAUACUUAAUUAUAAAAUGCUUAAUUAUUCUUACAUUUUUGACAAACAUCAAAUUAUAAUUAAUUAACAAAACAAUAACAAUUGUUUCUACUCCUUAACGAUAAAUACAACAAUAAGUAUUAUUACACAUUUACUUACGCUACUAUAUUACCGAUGCUUAAAUAUUAAUCUAUUGAACUAUCGCGCGCGAUGGCACAACUAGUGGAUAUAAAAAGGAUUGUAUGAU